ACUCAAAGGAAUAGACGGGGGCCCGCACAAGCGGUGGAGCAUGUGGUUCAAUUCGAUGCAACGCGAAGAACCUUACCAGCUCUUGACAUGCCUCGACGGUUUCCAGAAAUGGAAACUGCCCAGCAAUGGGUUGGAGGACACAGGUGCUGCAUGGCUGUCGUCAGCUCGUGUCGUGAGAUGUUGGGUUAAGUCCCGCAACGAGCGCAACCCUCGCCAUUAGUUGCCAUCAUUCAGUUGGGCACUCUAGUGGGACUGCCGGUGAUAAGCCGUGAGGAAGGUGGGGAUGACGUCAAGUCAUCAUGGCCUUUAUGGGCUGGGCUACACACGUGCUACAAUGGCGGUGACAAUGGGCAGCCACUCAGCAAUGAGGAGCUAAUCCCAAAAAGCCGUCUCAGUUCAGAUUGAGCUCUGCAACUCGAGCUCAUGAAGUCGGAAUCGCUAGUAAUCGCGGAUCAGCACGCCGCGGUGAAUACGUUCCCGGGCCUUGUACACACCGCCCGU
rnacentral:rRNA from 1 species